GACCUUUGAGUCACAAUCUCUGUUGCAGGGAGCGCGUGUUCUGUUGAGCCAACUCUCCGGGGGUUGUAGUCAUAGCCUUUGGCACAAGCCAGCGUUUGGGAACCACAGACCUGAUGAUCUUUGAGGUCCCUCCAGGCUCCAGCAUUUAAUGCCAUUUUAGGACAGGGAAGAAAGAAGAAUCUCUGAGAAGUUGGAACUGUUUGGGAUGCGCUGAUCCAGGAAACCUGACAGAAACUAUGCUAACUGAAUGGUAGAAGCAGCAGCACAAUCACUGCAAUAAGUGGACCCUGCGUGGCCCCUGAUAGGAUGCUUGGCGAACAAAGCAUGACUUCAGGGGUGUUCCUGCCAAAGGUGCAAAACCUGAAUCUAACUGUGAGGAAGCAUCAGACAAACCCCAAGUGAGGGAAAGCCUGCAAAAUGAUUUCUCUGUGCUCUUCAAAAAUAUCAAGAUAUGGAAAGCGCGGAAAGACUGGGGAAAUGUUCCAGAUUGGAAGAGACCUAAGAGUCAUAAUGACUGAAUGCAAGGAAUAAUCAAGUGGCCUAUUUUGGACCAGAAAGAAAAGAGGGUAAAAAUGUUCUUAUUUUCAUUGUUAUAGUUGUGUUUCUAAAAAAGAUUCUUGAGAUAUUCAGUAAAGCUGAGACUGUAGAUUAGAGGAUAGAUUGGAUUGACAUUAAUGUACUGAUUUUGGCUAGUGUUUUGAAACUGUGUAGGAGAAUGUUCUUAGGAGAUUUACACUGAAGCAUUUGGACAUUAGCUGGAAAUUUACUCCAGGCUCAGAAAAAUAAAACAAACGUGUACGUGUGUGCAGAGAGAGAGAAUAAAAUAAAUGCAUUUCUAAACA